GACAGAGGGUGCAAGCGUUAAUCGGAAUUAUUGGGCGUAAAGCGCGUGUAGGGGGUUUAGUAAGUUGGAUGUGAAAUCCCUGGGCUUAACCUGGGAAUUGCAUUCAAUACUGCUAGUCUAGAGUACAGUAGAGGGAAGUGGAAUUUCCGGUGUAGCGGUGAAAUGCGUAGAUAUCGGAAAGAACAUCAGUGGCGAAGGCGACUUCCUGGACUGAUACUGACACUGAGACGCGAAAGCAUGGGGAGCAAACAGG
rnacentral:rRNA from 1 species